rnacentral:rRNA from 1 species
AUUGAACGCUGGCGGCAUGCUUUACACAUGCAAGUCGAACGGCAGCGCGGGCUUCGGCCUGGCGGCGAGUGGCGAACGGGUGAGUAAUGCAUCGGAACGUGCCCAGUAGUGGGGGAUAGCUCGGCGAAAGCCGGAUUAAUACCGCAUACGACCUGAGGGUGAAAGCGGGGGAUCUUGGGACCUCGCGCUAUUGGAGCGGCCGAUGGCAGAUUAGCUAGUUGGUGGGGUAAAGGCCUACCAAGGCGACGAUCUGUAGCUGGUCUGAGAGGACGACCAGCCACACUGGGACUGAGACACGGCCCAGACUCCUACGGGAGGCAGCAGUGGGGAAUUUUGGACAAUGGGCGAAAGCCUGAUCCAGCAAUGCCGCGUGUGUGAUGAAGGCCUUCGGGUUGUAAAGCACUUUUGGCGGGAACGAAAAGGACUGUGCCAAUACCACGGUUCGAUGACGGUACCCGCAGAAUAAGCACCGGCUAACUACGUG